GAGUUUGAUCUUGGCUCAGGAUGAACGCCGGCGGUGUGCCUAAUACAUGCAAGUCGUACGCACUGGCCCAACUGAUUGAUGGUGCUUGCACCUGAUUGACGAUGGAUCACCAGUGAGUGGCGGACGGGUGAGUAACACGUAGGUAACCUGCCCCGGAGCGGGGAUAACAUUUGGAAACAGAUGCUAAUACCGCAUAACAACAAAGGCCACAUGGCUUUUGUUUGAAAGAUGGCUUUGGCCAUCACUCUGGGAUGGACCUGCGGUGCAUUAGCUAGUUGGUAAGGUAACGGCUUACCAAGGCGAUAAUGCAUAGCCGAGUUGAGAGACUGAUCGGUCACAAUGGAACUGAGACACGGUCCAUACUCCUACGGGAGGCAGCAGUAGGGAAUCUUCCACAAUGGGCGCAAGCCUGAUGGAGCAACACCGCGUGAGUGAAGAAGGGUUUCGGCUCGUAAAGCUCUGUUGUUGGAGAAGAACGUGCGUGAGAGUAACUGUU
rnacentral:rRNA from 1 species